rnacentral:tRNA from 8 species
GUCUAGCUCAAUUGGUAGAGCAACUGACUUGUAAUCAGUAGGUUGGGGGUUCAAGUCCUCU